UCCGGCAUAGCUCAAUGGUAGAGCGACUCCCUGUUAAGGAGUGGGUUCCUGGUUCGAGUCCAGGUGCCGGAGCCA
rnacentral:tRNA from 1 species